rnacentral:lncRNA from 1 species
AGUUUUAAAGAAAGGUUAAUAGGAUUGAUUGGGUGAGAGAAAGGUGGGUGGGGCCAAGAGAAAGUGGAAAAAUAAAAAAAAUAAAAAAUAAAAAGAAUUUAGGGUGCUUGGACCUACUAUUGUCGCCUGUAGAUGGUCGUUGGUUUUUGUAUCGGCGAGGCUUUUGAAUUGGGGUAUGGGUUGGGGAGUGCUACGGACCAUAUAAGGUAC